UUUAUCGGAGAGUUUGAUCCUGGCUCAGGAUGAACGCUGGCGGCGUGCCUAAUACAUGCAAGUCGAGCGAAUGGAUUGAGAGCUUGCUCUCAAGA
rnacentral:rRNA from 1 species